AUUGAACGCUGGCGGCAUGCCUUACACAUGCAAGUCGAACGGCAGCACGGGAGCAAUCCUGGUGGCGAGUGGCGAACGGGUGAGUAAUAUAUCGGAACGUGCCCAGUCGUGGGGAUAACGUAGCGAAAGCUACGCUAAUACCGCAUACGAUCUAUGGAUGAAAGCGGGGGAUCGCAAGACCUCGCGCGAUUGGAGCGGCCGAUAUCAGGAUUAGGUAGUUGGUGAGGUAAAGGCUCACCAAGCCGACGAUCUGUAGCUGGUCUGAGAGGACGACCAGCCACACUGGGACUGAGACACGGCCCAGACUCCUACGGGAGCAGCAGUGGGGAAUUUUGGACAAUGGGCGCAAGCCUGAUCCAGCAAUGCCGCGUGCAGGAUGAAGGCCUUC
rnacentral:rRNA from 1 species